UUUGAUCAUGGCUCAGGAGUUCGGCGGACGGGUGAGUAAUGCCUAGGAAUCUGCCUGGUAGUGGGGGAUAACGUUCGGAAACGGACGCUAAUACCGCAUACGUCCUACGGGAGAAAGCAGGGGACCUUCGGGCUUGCGCUAUCAGAUGAGCCUAGGUCGGAUUAGCUAGUUGGUGGGGUAAUGGCUCACCAAGGCGACGAUCCGUAACUGGUCUGAGAGGAUGAUCAGUCACACUGGAACUGAGACACGGUCCAGACUCCUACGGGAGGCAGCAGUGGGGAAUAUUGGACAAUGGGCGAAAGCCUGAUCCAGCCAUGCCGCGUGUGUGAAGAAGGUCUUCGGAUUGUAAAGCACUUUAAGUUGGGAGGAAGGGUUGUAGAUUAAUACUCUGCAAUUUUGACGUUACCGACAGAAUAAGCACCGGCUAACUCUGUGCCAGCAGCCGCGGUAAUACAGAGGGUGCAAGCGUUAAUCGGAAUUACUGGGCGUAAAGCGCGCGUAGGUGGUUUGUUAAGUUGGAUGUGAAAUCCCCGGGCUCAACCUGGGAACUGCAUUCAANACUGAC
rnacentral:rRNA from 1 species